UUAGCAUGGUCUCUGUCUGGUUCUGUGAUUGUUUCUGUCUGCUGUAUAAUUAAUUUUGCUGGGUGUAAACUAAUUAAGGUGGUGGGAUAUAAUUGGUUAGCUAAUCAUGUUACAAUAUGUUAGGAUUUGCUAGUUAAAUUUCAGUAUAAUGAUUGUUUAAGGUAC